AAUCUCGGGAGCUCCAGGUUGGGCGCGGUUUUGAGCGCCGCAAGAGUGCAAGACGCCGCGGCGCCACCCGGACCCAGCCUGGCAACCCGUCCCUCGCCAGUGGCCACCGCGCGGGCUUUCUCUCUCUCCCUCCCUCUCUCUCGAUCCUUUACUCAUAGCAGCGCAGUGUUCGUUCGGCCAUCCUAGCCACCAAGACGACCCUCCGCAGGGAGGGCAGGUUUCAGAACAAGGCACUAUACAGAAUUUUCAGCUUCGCCACAUCCAGUUGUCUUGAUCACAAGGAACGAGAACAAUGGGGACUGUAACCUUGGUUCUUAUGUUAGUAUCAGUUCUUGUGAUAUCACCAACAGCUGGGGAGAUGUCCUGUGAUCCGGUACAUAUGGCAUCCAAGGUUGUAGAUACCUGUAACAACAUAGAAGUAUCGACCGACUGCUUUAGACAAUCGAGACAAUUGCGAAACUGCGAUGUCUGCGAGCUGUCAGUCAGCAGCAAGACGUAAUCGACGGGGGAUAUACUUGGGGUUUUCUUCUUGAUAUGCACAAGUCAUGCCAGGCAAAGGCACUCCCACUAAACAAAAAGCCAGAUUCCUUUUCACCAAAGUUACCAUCCGCUGAUGAAAAUGUGGUUACAAGUUCCCAUAUGUUGUCUGAUGUGACCAAGGUCAUGGUACUAAGUCUUCGGGGUCCUACUGGAUGUCAAAGCACUUUAGGGUCCUACUAAUUGGCAUUUGUUCCUUUUUGAACAGCAGCAAAGGCGAACACAAUCAAAAAAGAUUAAAGAUAUUGUUGUGGACGGACUUGAGAUAGUUGGCUCAAUUUUAGGAGCAGUAGCUGGAAUAGUGGUCCUGUGGAAGAAGUUUCGACAGCAAAGUGGGAGCACCGCGGAAAGUAACGAAAUGCUGCACACAACCCGGAAUCCAGAGCCCCGUGCCGGUGGUGCCCCAACACAGCGUGAAGCGCAUGGAUUUGUUGAUACUGAAGUGAGACAUUCCUGUAACUAUCGAAUGACAAGACGAACACCUACUGGAGAAGCCGCGCUCAAGGAUGAGAAGCCAAAUCAGAGGCUACACAAGACCUGCCUGAAGCCAAAGUUGAAGCUUAUGAAGAAGCAAAAGGUGAAUUGUUGUGAUGAGCAUCUCUUCAGCCGCUGCCCCCAGAGGCUCGAAAUCUUCCACUUUGAUGGCUGCUGCGAGCAGCAGGAGGAAGCAGUGGUUGGUGAUGAUGGGUACUGUAUGCCAGCUCCUAGUCCUUGAUCGCCGCAAGUAUCGUAUCCAUAGUGCUCUCUCCGUGCUUUCUCUCCUCCUUUCUUGUUUCCACGCUAUACUGGUAUUCUCACUCUACUUGUAGGCUCCUAGCUAACCCAGCUAAUAAUAAACUAGCCAGCUUGCUUUCCUUGAUUUGCAGGAGUGAGCAGUACACACUCACACAUGUGGUUGUACUUGUGUUUCUCUGGCUGUAACAUCUUGUGUUUUAGUUUUUCUGUACAAGUGCAAUAGCAGCUCAAGUGGUUGUUUUCUAUACAUAUUAAAUUCUGGUAGCUUCAGGAGAAACAUGAUAGACAUAAUGCAGGUUCACACAUGUUACAGACAGAAAAGA